ACGAAUCCUUGUGAGACCGGGUUGGCACAUGUAUUCCCAAAAAGGUGGCAGCGAACAGUCCCGUGUGCUCACACAAGCUGCAUGGUCUUCUUUCAGCUCAGUUCAAAAGUGUCAUGUACUUUUUUUUAGAUCCAGUGAGCUGGGUAAGUCGGGACUUUUGAAGACUUUGGUGGGUUGGAACACUGUGGUCAGAUGUAUGUGUGUCUGCAUUGAUGUCAAGGCACAUUUGAAAGGAAACGUAGGAAAACCAGAAUCACAAAGCUUGGUGGCAAAAGAAACUAAACACAGUUUUGCGGUUUGAUAGCAAGUUGGUGAGUGUAUUAUAUGACGAAACAAGGAAUUUGAGACUUCUUAAACUUAAAUAAAUAAAAAUGUAUAUAAAUAUAAGAUGUGACAUCUUCAUUAGGUGCAAAGUAAUCUAAUAAACCUACUUUAUGAUAUCAGAGGUGCUAAUCCAAUUAUAUUUACUCCACCAAGGAACAUGAUGGAGUUAUGUGACGAUCAGCAUACAUUUGUCUGUCUGUUCGCAACAUUACGGAUAAAUGGAUUUGGAUGAAAUUUUCAGCAGAAUAAGACAACGGUGAUGAGUGAGUGGGAGCGAAUUGGGACAAAGUGGUAUUCUUAAUGUAGUGGAGAAAACGUUUGGAGUAUCUCCUAGAUCUAAGACUAUGAAAUAAAGUAGAAGUUGCUGCAUGAAAAUCAUCUAUAUUAGAACAAAUGCGAAGAAACCCAUCAACUGGGAUUUAAUGAUGCCCCUGAAUGUAUGUUUGGGGUGGUAACUCCGUUUAUGUUAUAAAGCAUGAAUAUCAGUGAGUUUAAAGUAAACCUUGGUCUGUAAGCUCUUCGAAGUGUUAUUGAUAGGUUUAAAAAGACAGUUGUAUACAGGAAAUUAAUUUGUGAUGGAUCGAUAGUAUAUUUAACUUUAAUUGAAGAAUGAUGAUUAUUAAGAAUGUCUAUGAAAACAGGAAAUUAUGUGAUGUCAUAUGGCCAGAUACCAAAAAUAUCAUCCAGGAACCUAAGAUAAAUGGAAGGUUUUAACGGACAUUUAUACAAGGCCUCUCGCUCCCACUCACUCAUAUAAAGAUUUGCAUAAGAUGGAGCAAAAUGCUGGCCCAUGGCUGUCCCAUGGACCUGGAGGAAAAAUUGAUUGUUAAAUAAGAAGUCAUUACUACUUAAACAAAGUUCAAUAAGUUGUAAAAGAUGUUGGUCCGGUCUAGUCGGAUCUGGAUUUUUGUUAAAAAUAGACUGUAAAAUUUGUAGACCCAAAGGGGUACUGAUGUUGGUAAACAGACUCUCUAUAUCAAUUAUAAAUAGAUAGGCUUGCUUAGGGACAUGCAUGGACCUGAUGAUAUCUAAAAAGUGAUGGGUAUCCUUCAAAUGACUAGGUGGUCGAGUGGAGAGGGGUCUUAGAAAAUGAUCAAUGUAUUGUGAAACAUGAUAAGUCACACUAUUACAGUCUGAAACUAUGGGUCUCCCAGGGGGAACCUCAUAGGGAAUGGUCCAAGAUUGGGGAUCCUUAUGUAUUUUAGAAAGCAAAAAGAAAUAACAGGGUCGAGGAUUGUGUGGUCCCGAUAAAAAAAUCUCUCUGUUUAGCUGAAAUGAAUUUUUGAACAUAUAAGGAAUGAACAAUCUACCUAAGUUUAGUGUGAGUCUGAGCCUGAAUAGAGUUAUCCAAUCGUCUAUAAUACCUGUCAUUGUUUAGUUGUUGAUGAGCUUCCCAAAGAUGUUGUCGAUCGAGAAUGACAAUUUUGGAGCCUUUAUCGGCAGGUUUUAUUAUAAUGUUUGGGUUAUAAACCAACUGAGCAAAUGCUUGUCUUUUCGUUUUUGUUAAAUUAUCCGUAGUGUUAGAUCGAAAUCUAAAACAUCGCAGAGUUUGUUUAUUUUUAGUGAUGGAUGUACGAGUGAGUGAAUUAAGACCUGAGGGAUCUGGUUCCCAAUGUGAUUGAUGUGUAAAUAAUUUCUGUUGUUGCCUAUAAGGAUUAAGAUGUAAAUAGUCAAUAAUGGCCAACAGUCGAUGGAAAAGAUGGAGGUCCCUAUGAGUUCCUUCUGAUCGAAAGACAUGGGUUUGGGAAUGAAAGAGAGGCCCCUCUCCAAAAGCUGUCAUUGAGAUUUAGUAGGAAAAAAGAGAGUAGCCAAAUUAAGAAUGCUAGAAGAGGAGUUCCAGCCCAGGUCCCCACCCCACUCUAUAUGUUGUUUAUAUGUGUGUGGUGACUGAUUGGUCAUAGUGUUUACUGUAAAUUUAGUUGCAUGCACCAAUGAUCCAAGAUUUUUUUGAGCUGUAGCAGACGUCCAAUGUAUAUUAUCCUUGUCUGUUUCAAACAUAUGUUGAGGAAUAGCUGUGAGAGUUGGAAAAUGUGCAGCUAUAGUCUCAUUAAUGAAUUUAAGAUUAGCUUGUUGUGUAGUAGUAAGGUGAAUGGAAUAAUUAAUGGUGGCAAAAUAAAUGUCUGCAUUAGGGAAAGUCAAUCCUGCCUGCCGGAGUAAUGAUUUGAGUUUUUUAAUUGUUGUCUGUCUGGGAUCCUGGUCCUUAUUGUUAAUGCCCACUGAGAAGACCACAAUUUUGGUAGUCGGAUGGAUCAAGGUCUUCUAGCAAAGUUCCAAAAAAUGGUAUGCUGUUGCUCUAGAAUAGCUAUCAAGUUGGAGAUUAGGGUAUCGAUGAGUCACGGGCCUGCCGCGUUCCUGACUCCGCCAGGGUCUAGGGUAUAGGAUUAGGUCUAGGAUUAGAGUUAAAGUCAAACACUACUGUAAUAUUAUGAGAUUGGGGUUAAGGUUAGGGUCAGGGUUAGGAUUACAAAGGUUGGGUUAGAGUGAAAGACAGGCAUUAUUAUAAAAGUAUAGGGUUGGGGUUAAGGUUAGGUUAGGGGACCAAAGUGUUAGACAUAAACAUUGUGAAUGGGCACAGAUCUAUGAAUCAUAUUAUUUUUGUUUCCUUUUUUGAUAACUAUGUUGUUGGAAAAUAAAAUUAUGUGGAAAAUUUAGAGAAAAAAAGGAGAAAAAAGAAAAGAAAGAAAAAAGGGGAGGGGUAAGAAGCGAAAAGUGUGUGUGGAGAUAUGAUAUUUGUGUAUAUAUUAAAUGUGUAAAAUGAAUAUUCUGAAGUUAUGAUUUACUGACAGGACGGACCCCAGAGCAGCCCCUAAUAAAAGAGGAGACCCUGUUGGCAACAAAGGUAUCCAAGCGACUUGCCAUGAUAGCAGCUGUAAGCUCCAUGCGAAGUAUUGAAACCGACUUCAAAGGAGACACUCUGGAGUUUCCCAUGACAAAGCUGCUAUGCACCUGUGAGUGUGCAUUCUGCAAAAGUAGCACAACUUGGUGAAGAAGUCGCACCAAAAAGAUGUACCAUCAUUCUGAAGUCCACCAAGUCUCGGGCAAAAUCACCAUUGGGCCACCAAAGAAACAUCAAAAGGUAAACAUCUUCCCUUGGUACCCUUACUUGAUGAAACAUAGACUCUAUGUCUGCCAUGAGCACCACCGGUUCCUUCCUGAAUCUGGCCAAGACACCAAUCAGCGAGCUAGUGAGAUCUGGCCCUUGCAGCAGCUGUGAAGUGAACUGAAAAGUGGCUGCACAGUCAAAAAACAUGCAAAUUUUCUCCUUUUGAGGGUGAUAAACACCAUGGUGUGGGAUAUACCACAGUCUCCCAUCACUACGUGCCAGCUCACCGACAGGUACUUGUUCUGCGUAUCCUUUGGUGAUCAUGUCAUUCAUAAAAUCUGUGUACUGCUGUCGAAAUGAUGAGUCCCUUUUGAACCUCCUCUUCAGGUUCAGAGCACGCUGCUCUGCGCCGUUCCUAUUGUUAGGCAUGCUCACACAAUUUUUCCUCAGAGGCAAUGCAAUCUGAUAAUGGCCAUCCACAAGUUUAGCUGAAUCCCGGACCAGCUUCAUGAACCUUUGAUCUUCCCUCGACAGACCAGGUUGUUCAUCAUAGCCACAUUCUGGGAAAUCUGUUCUGAGCUGCUGUUGCCAAAGCUCCUCCAAAUUCAGGACUAAGAUCCUAUUAAUGGUGGCAACUUCAAUUCCAUCACCACUGUCCCCUCCCAGUGGCCCAUUAACAGUCCAUCCCAGAACAGUCCUAAUGGCAUAGGGUCCACUGCCCACACUACGGAUGACUUGCAGUGGUUCCAGUGCUUUUGGUACAUUUGUUCCAAUUAAUAGCUCAACUUUGGAGUCAAUCUCCGGUAAGUGAACAUCUCCCAAGUGAGGCCACCUCUGUUUCCUUUAUGUACUGGCAUACGCUCCUGGGUGUAGGUAUUAGGCAGAUCACAAUAUGUCUCACCAUGUAAGCCAGCCACCUCCAGUCCUACAAUCACAUAGCUAUUAACAACCUUCUCUUGACCCAUUGUCCGUAAAAGAAUUUGUGUCCUUUUUCCUGAGAGGUUGAGCUUGUUCAUGAGGUUAACUGUGCAGAAAACAGCCAUGCUACCCUGAUUGAAGAACGCGUAAGUAACAACUGUGCGGUUACUUUUAUUGGGUUUAAUCCGCACUGGAACUAUAGGUAGUUUGCAGUCACGCCUCCAGUCUCAGUAAACCCACUGGAUAGCAGAGCACAGCCCACUGCCGUGCCUGGUUCUCAUUGGUCACUGGAUCCUUUUCCUUAGAAUGAAUGUGAAGUAUUGUGGGGUGUUUUAAGCUGCACACUUUCCAUGAGAGAUGCUUUCGACAAUCCUUGCUGAUGUGUCCUGUACACAAACAGCCAAAGCACACUCCCUUUUCCCUUAAAAAAGUGAUCUUCUCAGCAUGAGCCCUCUUUUCCAUUCGAUCACAAAACUCCAAAGUGUGUCCACCCUCACAAAGCAAACAGACCUUCUUGACUGAUGAAAUCAUAUCUGAUCUUGUUGUGUAAAAAUUGAUCUAUUACAGUCACAAAUCUAUAAAUGUGUGUGUUGAAUCUGAUGUACUGGCCCUGUAACCUGUACUGCAUUGAUUUACCUGGUAACUAUUGAAAACAGUGUAGAUAAAAAAUAAAGAAGGCAUGAGACUGGUGUUGGCAUGAAGCCAAAGGGAGGACCUCUGCCUCUGGGGAAUUGCCAGCCCAGUCUAAAAUUUUUAAUUAAAAUUUAGGGAGUAUCAGACUCUAUUAAAAAUUAAACCGAUGAGCUAAUGGUGAAAAGCGAAAGUUGGCGAAGGUAAAAGUAGGAUGGGCUGGGGGAGUGGAAAUACCCCAGCCCAGAUAGUAUAAAAGGCUGUACAUUCUGGCAGAAAGUCAGAAUCUGUUCCCAGGGCGAUUCUCAGUGUUUUGACCUGUCUUGUACAGAAAUAAACACUUUUUUCCUUGGCAUCUGAA